GCCCCUCCCGUGCGCGCGCAUUCUCCCUCACAUCGCAGACUAACGUUUUACAUCGAAAAGAUUUGAUGGGACAUCUUCAUCCGCCGCCUCAGCAGGUUUUAACAUUCAAAAUGAAAGUUGGGAGGAAGAAUGUCUUUCAAGUAAGCUACAAAAUUACUGGAAACAAAUUACUCUGCAAACAUUUUGAACACUGAAUAUGUACAUCAAGAUUCCUUUCUUGGCCUGGAUAUGGGACUUCUGGUGCUGAUUGGGAAGAAGAUGCACCACUGGAUUUGCAGAGUCUGGUUUCCUUUUGCUGGUCUCAGAUCCAUUUCCAAACACACGCACUUAUGGUGGAGGCAAGGUCUGCCUGUGUGUGGGCAGCAUUUGUCUUUUUAUAGACUGCAACUGCGUCACAGUAUAAAUGCAAUUUUGGGGGAAAAGUACAGUAAGAGUUAGAUGCCUCUAGGUUUUUACUGGUUUCAUUUAAAAUAAUGUAAAUAGAGUCUUAAGUAAAAAUAUGACCAUAUUGAAAGCUUAGUUAUGGGGCUGUCACUGUGGCAUAGCGGGUAAAGCUGCCACCUGCAGCGCCGGCAUCCCAUGUGGGCGCCGGUUCUAGUCCCAGCUGCUCCACUUUCCAGCUCCCCGCUAUGGCCUGGGAGAGCAGUGAAAGAUGGCCCAAGUCUUUGGGGUCCCUGCACCCAUGUGGGAGACCCGGAAGAAGCUCUAGGCUCCUGGCUUUGGAUCAGCGCGGCUCCAGCCAUUGCGGCCAUUUGAGGAGUGAACAAGCAGAUGGAAGAACACUCACUGCCUCUGCCUCUCUGUAACUCUG